UCGCUUGUCUCAAAGAUUAAGCCAUGCACGUCUAAGUACUGGCCUUGGUCUUUUUAAAAAGUGAAACCGCGAAUGGCUCAUUAAAUCAGUUAUGGUUCACUAGAUCGUACCACACCCUACUUGGAUAACUGUGGUAAUUCUAGAGCUAAUACAUGCAACUAGACCCCGCCCGGCCGUAUCCGUUCAUUCGGACGCGGUCGGAAAGGGCGCAAUUAUCAGCUCAAAACCGACCGGGCAGCCCCGCGUUUCGGCGCGGUGGGUGUCCCGUCCUUAUUAAUCCUUUGACGACUCUGGAUAACUUUCUAGCGGAUCGCCGACUGAACUAGGCCGGCCGGGCGUCUUCCCGACGUCCGCGUCCGGCCUACGGCGACUAGUCUUUCGAAUGUCUGCCUUAUCAACUGUCGACGGUAGGUUAGACGCCUACCGUGGUCGUAACGGGUGACGGGGAAUCAGGGUUCGAUUCCGGAGAGGGAGCCUGAGAAACGGCUACCACAUCCAAGGAAGGCAGCAGGCACGCAAAUUACCCAAUCCCCGCACGGGGAGGUAGUGACGAAAAAUAACGAUACGGGACUCUUAACGAGGCCUCGUAAUCGGAAUGAGUCCGCUCUAAAUCCUUUAACGAGGAUCUAUCGGAGGGCAAGUCUGGUGCCAGCAGCCGCGGUAAUUCCAGCUCCGAUAGCGUAUAUUAAAGUUGCUGCGGUUAAAAAGCUCGUAGUUGGAUUUGGGUUUUCGGGCCGGCGGGCCGCCGCCUUCGAGCGGCGCGUUUCCCGCCGCGCCCCCGGAACCGCACGGUCGCAGAGGCCCCCGCGGUGCUCUUGAGUGAGUGUCCGCGGUCCAGGGUCGCCGAACGUUUACUUUGAAAAAAUUAGAGUGCUCCAGGCAGGCCGGUAAAGCGUUUUUAAACCCGCGCCUGAAUAGUCACGCAUGGAAUAAUGAAAGAGGACCGGUGGUCCUAUUUUGUUGGUUUUCGGGAAUUCUUCCGCCGUCAUGAUUAAGAGGGACGGCCGGGGGCAUUCGUACCGCGGCGCGAGAGGUGAAAUUCUAGGACCGUCGCGAGACGAACCGUUGCGAAAGCAUUUGCCAAGAAUGUUUUCCUUAAUCAAGAACGAAAGUCAGAGGUUCGAAGGCGAUCAGAUACCGCCCUAGUUCUGACCGUAAACGAUGCCACCUGACGAUCCGCCAGGGUUACUACCAUGACUCGGCGGGCAGCCCCCGGGAAACCCAAGCCUUCGGGUUCCGGGGGAAGUAUGGUUGCAAAGCUGAAACUUAAAGGAAUUGACGGAAGGGCACCACCAGGAGUGGAGCCUGCGGCUUAAUUUGACUCAACACGGGGAACCUCACCCGGCCCGGACACCGCGAGGAUUGACAGAUUGAGAGCUCUUUCUCGAUUCGGUGGGUGGUGGUGCAUGGCCGUUCUUAGUUGGUGGAGCGAUUUGUCUGGUUAAUUCCGAUAACGAACGAGACUCUAGCCGGUUAAGUAGCCCGAGCGGUUUUUGAUCUUUGCCGUCCGUUCUCUCGCCGGACCUCGGGCCGUGGCGGUCGCCGGUCGGCACGAGGCGGUCGUCAGACCGUCUCGCCGCCGGCGUCCCGUGGCGGUUUUUCCGAGACGGUCGUUUGGACGGAGCAUAACCGAAGGCCGCCGGCUUUCAAGGAAGCUUCUUAGAGGGACGAGCGGCGUUCAGCCGCCCGAGAUUGAGCGAUAACAGGUCUGUGAUGCCCUUAGAUGUCCGGGGCCGCACGCGCGCUACACUGAAGGGCUCAGCGUGCCAGUUUCUCCCGAGCCGACAGGCUCGGGGAACCCGUUGAAACCCUUUCGUGCUAGGGACAGGGACUUGCAAUUGUGUCCCUCCAACGAGGAAUUCCCAGUAAGCGCGAGUCAUCAGCUCGCGUUGAUUACGUCCCUGCCCUUUGUACACACCGCCCGUCGCUACUACCGAUUGAACGAUUUAGUGAGGUCUUCGGACCGGUGGUCGUUCCGAGCGGUCCCUCUCCAACUCGGGAGGACCGUGCGGGGUCGGCCGGCCGGGAAGAUGCCCGAACUUGAUCGUUUAGAGGAAGA
rnacentral:rRNA from 1 species